UACGAAGGGGGCUAGCGUUGCUCGGAAUCACUGGGCGUAAAGGGUGCGUAGGCGGGUCUUUAAGUCAGGGGUGAAAUCCUGGAGCUCAACUCCAGAACUGCCUUUGAUACUGAGGAUCUUGAGUUCGGGAGAGGUGAGUGGAACUGCGAGUGUAGAGGUGAAAUUCGUAGAUAUUCGCAAGAACACCAGUGGCGAAGGCGGCUCACUGGCCCGGUACUGACGCUGAGGUGCGAAAGCGUGGGGAGCAAAGCAGG
rnacentral:rRNA from 1 species